UGUGAUGGUGUCUCCUCAGGGAGCCGCACCGGGAGAGGGGUGCUGUUAAAGCUCGGAGAGGGUCUGGCGAUGGAAGGGGCUGCAGCCCAGGAGUGGUCUUCAGGGCUGGCUCUCCAGAGGCAGCUGGCGCGCUUUGUGAGGAGGUUUAUAUAACACUAACUAUGGAGUAUAAUUUAAAUACAAAUAUUGAUAUAUUCUGUCAAUGAACCUGCAUCCCUCUGAGGAAAUCUCACCAUCCCAAUUGUAUGCUACUGUGCUUGAGAGUUUUGAAAACCAGAUUGCCAGCCUGGUGAAGAUGUUUCUGGUGGAAGUAUACAGGUAUAAGCUCUGCCAGUUCACAAGCAGCAUCAAAAGUACAGUCAGGACAUACCUGGCUUAUACAUGUGAAACUGAUACAACAUCAAAUUUUAAGCUGUCCUAACACUGAAAUGAAAAUGGAAUGAGCAUGGAAGAUGAAGCUAACCAAGAAAAUAAGGAAAAUGGAAGAAAAUUUUCCAAGAAAUGUCUCUUACUACCUCUGUAUCAGAUGCUUCAAAAUAAGUCCUCACUGUUGCAACAUGAGCCCCAGUGGUCAGGGUAGUAACUCUUAUGCUUCUCACUUUUGUGAACACCUUGUUUGGAACAGCAGCACUUUAUCUGCAGCUUGAGGAGCCCUAUUCUGCACUGCCAACUGCUAUUUCAAAUGCCCAGUCUGUGCAUCUUCACCUCGUGUUUCCAGUGUUACAACUUGGACCUUAUCUGGGGAGAUAAAAACCUCUAAAGCUGAAGCAAGGUGUAAAAAUGUCAAAAAUCAGAAGAAAGCUGGACGUGAUGGUAAAGGGGUAGCUCAUUCUGUGAAAGACGUUUGAAAGUUGGGUUCUGAGAGAAGGCAGCAUUUCUACUGUUUGCAACAUAGCACUGAAGUCAGAGGAUGCUCAGAAAAUCCAUGAAAAUGUUUAUGAUAUCAGUUGUGGCUUUAAGUGCAUUUAUUGUUGCAUGGCUGAGUGAGGCUUAAUGGAGAAUCAUUUAAAAUCACAGAAGGGCUAAAAGAAACCUGAGUGCCUCAUCAGUGAAAGUGUUCUUAUGUCACAGAGUGCCUGGGAAGUGCACAGAAACAGACAAGAGGAAGCCUCAUCUGUUUAAGCACACAAUAUGUUCAUCAUCUUUUGAAACUGAGCAGGUCCUGUGACAUCUAGAUCCACUGGCUUCAGCUCCAUUGUGACAUCCUAACAUGCAUUGUGUUGGUGGUAACUUAUUGACCACUGAACCAUGCUGGAGAAGCUGGUGUGCACUGCAUAGAGGGUUAGGUGAGAAGUCUUUCAAGUGUGAGAUUUGCUCUUAUACCUUCAUUGAUACAAGCUCCCUGCAGCAGUGUUUCUGAACAUGCACUAAUGAGAGGCCUUGCAAAUGCUGGCUCUGUUCAUAUAGUCGCAUUUAGAAGAAGAGCUUGGACCUUCACAUAUGCUGACAUCACACUGGUGAGGUGUGGUUUUUGCUGCUGUUCUUCUGAGAAACAGUUUCUCCAAAAACACAUUAAGAAACAUCACCUAGGUUCAAGAACUUUCUUAACCAGCUCCCAGCUCACUUUUACCCUCAAAUCACUUCCUGUGGAAAAUUAGGUUCUUCAUGCUUAAACUUCCACCAGAGCAUCCCUGCGAAUAAGGAAGCUGUUGGCAUUGUCACUCUUCCUGGCUGAAAGCCAGGGGUUAUCUGGAAGAAGAGAAGAAACAGUCCUUAUGUGGCAAUUAAAAGCACUUAGAAUGGUCUUCCCAAAAGCCUGCUGUGUAUUUUGGGGCAGGUGGAAUCUCCAGUGUGCUGAGAGGAGUGUGAAGAUUUGUGUUGCACAAAGGUGGACGUGUUGAUUUUUUUGUUCUGGUUACCUCUUGCUGACACAUUCUGCUUACUUACAAAUGAAGAGUUUGACAUCUGAAGGCAGAAUCUGUUGAAACGUACCAAAGCUGACAGUGAAUGCUACUGGUUGUUUCUGUACAUCUUUUAUCUUUGAUACAGGUCUCUACAUAAAUUAUAUAUAUAUAUUUAAAAAAAUAUAAACAUAUAUACACGUAAAUUAUUAAAAAAUUACUGAUGCUGUAGGACUCAAUGUGGUAAAAACAAUAAUCCUGAAAUUUCUUCAGAUUUAUUUAUUUUGUAACAAAAUGUGUCUAUUAUAAUAAGCUGGCCCAUUGUUGAAGUAAAAAUAUAAACUAUUGAAAUAUGACAUCACAUAAACUGUACCCUAUUUGGCCAAAUAGAUAUUGCUCACUUUAGAAGAUAAAUUACAAUAAUGUUAUACUUUCUAAUUUUAGGCUGUUAGAGGACUGAUUUUACUCUAUGACUACACAUUUAUUCUUUGACUAUGGUGGUUUUGUAGAGUCUGUUAUCAGCUAUAAAUGUUGCUCAGAAAAUGUAACUGUUGCUAAAAAUAAAAAAAAACUAAUAUCAGAACUUCCUACUAGAUGGAAGUAAAUCGUGACUGAAGUGCAUGUACACUGUUCUCUUAAACACAAUUGUAAAGAAUAUGCUGCUUCAACAGGAUAAAAGUUUCCCUUCCAGGUAAGUUGUAGAUUUCUUGA